rnacentral:rRNA from 1 species
UACGUAGGUGGCAAGCGUUAUCCGGAUUUAUUGGGUGUAAAGGGCGUGUAGGCGGUUACGCAAGUCUGGAGUGAAAGGCGGGGGCCCAACCCCCGGACUGCUUUGGAAACUGUAUAACUGGAGUGCAGGAGAGGUAAGUGGAAUUCCUAGUGUAGCGGUGAAAUGCGUAGAUAUUAGGAGGAACACCAGUGGCGAAGGCGGCCUGCUGGACGGUGACUGACGCUGAGGCUCGAAAGAGUGGGGAGCAAACAGG